AUUGAACGCUGGCGGCAGGCCUAACACAUGCAAGUCGAACGAGUGGCGGACGGGUGAGUAAUGUCUGGGAAACUGCCCGAUGGAGGGGGAUAACUACUGGAAACGGUAGAUAAUACCGCAUACCAUCGGCAGUGCCCAGAUGGGAUUAGCUAGUAGGUGGGGGAACGGCUCAACGAGGCGAAGAUCCCUAGCUGGUCUGAGAGGAUGACCACCCAAACUGGAACUGAGACACGGUCCAUACGCCUACGGGAGCCAGCAGUGGGGAAUAGUGCACAAUGGGCGCAAGCCUGAUGCAGCCAUGCCGCGUGUAUGAAGAAGGCCUUCGGGGUGUAAAGUACUUUCAGCGAGGAGGCGUUACUCGCAGAAGAAGCACCGGCUAACGCCGUGCCAGCAGCCGCGGUAAUUC
rnacentral:rRNA from 1 species